rnacentral:lncRNA from 1 species
UGGGGAUGUUAGGGCUGAAGGCACUAAGGGUGUUAGGGCUGAAGGUAGCGAGGGAGUUGGAGCUGAAGACAGUACAAGUGAAAGCAUAAGUGUUAGAAGUAUUAACUUAAAUGAUUUACAGAACAGUGAUUACAUCGAUAGUGGGGGGGAUCAUGGUCAUGAAACUACAGGUGAAGGGGUUGAACCUAGUGCUGAAGAG